rnacentral:rRNA from 1 species
AAUUUUGGACAAGGGGGGCAACCCAGAUCCAGCCAUCCCGCGUGUGCGAUGAAGGCCUUCGGGUUGUAAAGCACUUCUGGCAGGGAAGAAAAGGCUCAGGCUACUACCCGGAGCUGCUCACGGUACCUGCAGAAUAAGUUUAGGCACACUACGUGUCAGCAGCCGAGGGAAGACGUAGGAUGCAAGCGUUAAUCCGAAUUACUGGGCGUAAAGCGUGCGCAGGAGGUUCGGCAAGAAGGAUGUGAAAUCCCGGGGCUUAACCUUGGAACUGCAUUCUUAACUGCCGGGCUAGAGUAUGUCAGAGGGGGGUAGAAUUCCGCGUGUAGCAGUGAAAUGCGUAGAGAUGCGGAGGAAUACCGAUGGCGAAGGCAGCCCCCUGGGAUAAUACUGACGCUCAUGCACGAAAGCGUGGGGAGCAAAC